GCCUUAAACUUGCCAUCCUCCUGCCUCCGCCUCCUGAGAAGCUGGGAUUGUAGGUGGAUGCCACCGUGCCUGGCAGAAUUCGUCAUUCUUUCUUUCUUGCCAUAACCAAUUGUAUUAGUCAGGGUUCUUCAGAGGAACAGAACCAACAGUGUGUGUGUAUGUGUGUGUGUGUGUGUGUGUGUGUGUGUGUCUCAUUCAGGGAGGGCCUUUCCAGUUUGCUGAUCCACACACAAAUUGUCUCUGGAAACACCCUCAAAAAUAGUCAGAAGUAGGCUUUACCAAUUUUCUCGGUGUCUCUCAAUCCAGUCAAAUUGACAACCAAGAUUAAACAUCACCCCCCUCUUCCCCCAAGGUGCCCUUCCUCCUGGGUUCCCAGGCAGCAAGUCAGAAUCCUGACCCCAAGAAUGCCAGCCAGGCCUGAAGCCCCGAGACCAGGCCCUCACCCCUACCUCUGACCCAUGACCAAAUUCUGUCUCAUUACGGAUUUUCUUCAAAACCACUGUUUCCCUCCAACUCCCCCACCGCCGAGUCCCCACUGCCAUCAUAUUCUCUGGGGAUAUUCGUGGGACUGCUCUUCACUCUUUUCCAAGUUCUCCCAAGGAUUCCCUGUUGCUCAGAGAGUAAAGUCUAAGUUUCCUAACCAGUUCAAAGCCUUCACAACCAGGACUUGAUGGCUGAACCGUCAGGGCCUAUGACACCAAGGCUUCCCUCCCUCUCUGCCCCUCCUCUCGGUGACCAGAGCUCUGCACAUCCCCCAUUUCCUCCUGCGCCUCUCCCCAGGUUUUCUAUGCUACUCCCACACCUGAAGCCCAGGAGGACUCAGACAGCACUUCCAGCUGGAGGCCUCGCCGUGUCCCUGCAGGCUUCUGGGCUCAUUCACAUGUCAGCAUUAAUCACACUGCCACCCAGAGUCUCUUUCUUCCUAUCUUUUUCCUGAAGGACCAUCAAACUGUGAUUUACCCAACCAUGAGCUUUAGCACAGUACCUGGCCCAAGGCUUUAUCUGUUUAUUGACUGAAUGGAUAAAUAUGUGUUUAAUAAUCAAAGCAGUAUGGAGAUUCCUUAGAAAACUUGGAAUGGAACCACCAUUUGACCCUGCUAUCCCACUCCUAGGUCUAUACUCCAGGGACUUAAAAACAGCAUAUUACAGGGACACAGCCACAUCAAUGUUUAUAGCAGCUCAAUUCACAAUAGCUAAACUGUGAAACCAACUUAGAUGUCCUCCAAUAGAUGAAUGGAUAAAUAAUCUGUGUUACAUAUAUACAAUGGAAUAUUACUCAGCAUUAAAAGAGAAUAAAAUUAUGGCAUUUGAAGACAAACAGAUGGAGCUGGAGAAUAUCAUGCUAAGCUAAAUAAGCCAAUCCCCAAAAGCCAAAGGCCAAAUAUUCUCUCCGAUAUAUGGAUGCUGAUCCAUAAUGGGGACAGGGGAGGUAUGGGGAAAAUGGAGGAACUUUGAUGGGGCAAAGAGGAGGGAGGGUCCAUGGGGGCAGGAAAGAUGGUGGAAGGAGUGGGACAUCAUUACCCUAGGUACAUGUGUGACUGCACAUAUGGUGUGACGCUACAUCAGGUACAACCAGAGAAGUGAAAAGUUGUGCUGCAAUUGUGU
rnacentral:lncRNA from 1 species